GACGAACGCUGGCGGCGUGCUUAACACAUGCAAGUCGAACGGAAAGGCCCCCACUUUUUUGGUGGGGGUGCUCGAGUGGCGAACGGGUGAGUAACACGUGGGUGAUCUGCCCUGUACUUCGGGAUAAGCUUGGGAAACUGGGUCUAAUACCGGAUAGGACCAUGGUUUAGUGUCUCAUGGUGGAAAAAUUAUUGUUUUGGUGCAGGAUGAGCUCGCGGCCUAUCAGCUUGUUGGUGGGGUAAUGGCCUACCAAGGCGUCGACGGGUAGCCGGCCUGAGAGGGUGGACGGCCACAUUGGGACUGAGAUACGGCCCAGACUCCUACGGGAGGCAGCAGUGGGGAAUAGUGCACAAUGGGCGCAAGCCUGAUGCAGCGACGCCGCGUGGGGGAUGACGGCCUUCGGGUUGUAAACUCCUUUCGUUAGGGACGAAGCCGCACCUUUUUUGGGUGUGGUGACGGUACCUUUGUUAAGAAGCACCGGCUAACUACGUG
rnacentral:rRNA from 1 species